GAAAUUAUGGGUGCUUCCCCCAUCCACGAGAGUGAGCACCUGUUGAUCGGCAAUGAGGCCGGAAAAACGCAGAGUCUCAGGUGCUAACGGUCCAGUGAGGGAGUGUAAAUUGAGUUGGGCCUCAUUUACAAGUGAUGGGUCAGGUGGUUCGGGUUCCAGGCCCAAUAGGGUAUAGUCUUCUACGGAGCGCUCGUCAUCAUCAACCACUAGGAGGUGCACCCUAGAAUUGCAACGAUGACCACGAUGGUAUCGUUCAUCGCAAUUGAAGCACAAACCUCUCUCUCUGCGGGUAGUUAAUUCCUUAGGGGUUAGCCGUUUCAGAGGAAUGACGGAAAGGGGCUUGGUGGUGGGAUUCGAGGGCAAGGAGGGUAAAGAGGGGGAGAAAGGGUUCGUGGGGAGCGGUUGAGAGGGAGAGGGUGGGACACGGGGAUGAAAAGCCCUUCUCGCUUCGAUAAGCUUCUCCUCUUGCAAUCUAGCAAGACCGGCAGCCUGGGUGACCGUCAAUGGUUGCAAGGGAAGAACCUCACGACGGAUGUCGGCAUUGAGGCCUGAGACAAAGCAGCUGAGGAGAAAGUGCGGAGGGAGACCGACAACGCGGUUCGCGAGAUCCUCAAAUUCAGAAAGGUAAGCUUGUACUGUGGUUUUCUGAGUCAAUUUGAAUAAGGCCCCAGUUGGAUCCUCGUAGUGGGAGGGGGCAAAACGAAUUUGCAGGGCAUGGAGGAAACUCUGCCAGGAGGAGAGUUGGCCAUUACCAGCCAUCCACUGGUACCAGGCCAAAGCUCUGCCGUCCAUGUAAAAGGACGCAAUGGUGAGUCGGUCUUGGUCCGGGGUGUGAUGGUAUUCGAAAUACUGAGUGAUUUUGAAUAUCCAGCCUAAUGGGUCCGACCCAUCGAACCGGGGAACAUCGAGCUUGACGCGAGGGUGAGGGGAUGAGGGUGAAGUCGGGGAAACGUGUGGGGGUGAGCUUGGGGAGGGUGCGGGAGAUUUGGUGGUGAGGGUGGAAAUGAGGGUGUCGAGCUUAUGGGUCAUGGUUUGCAGGUUUUCACUGAGACUGAGUUGAUGAAUGGUGAGCUUAGCUAUGGCGUCUUCCAACUUUUCAGAGUUGGACUUCGAGGCCAUGAGAGCGAGACGAGAGCACCAAAUUGUUAGGAAUGCGUUUAUAAAUUCUGGGCUUCGAGGGCCAGACCUCCCAAAACAAAGAAGAAAGCUAAGUUUGUGAUUGUAAUUCGUUCCCUGCCUUAUUUCAUUUAGAUGGUAUUUAUAAUGGAUUACAAUAACAGAAUUUGUAAUUCUGUGAUGACAGGUCCUAACGGAAAUGAGAAAAUAUUCCUAAAGUGGCAGACAAGAUCAAGGCACCGAUCCUUAGAUGUCCAGCUCAUCAAUUUCGGUUAUCCAGCUCAGCUUCUCUGCUCAAACGAAGUCUCUGAGGUAUGUUGGUAUCUUCUUCUUCCUUUUGGGUCUGCUUUCUACUUCCUUGCUAUCAAUAUCCUUCUUCCCAAACCGAUUCUUUUUUAUGGUCCAUGGCAUUGCGUUGCCAAAGCAAAAGUAAAAAUACUUGUACAAGAUAUGGUGGUAUUUGUAGGUUACUUAUAAAAUACCUACAUAUACACCUGUGGAAAUUUUCUAAAAUUCUCUGUUAACAACACCAGAUCAAACUAGAAUGUAAGUUUUUUUUU
rnacentral:lncRNA from 1 species